GCUGGCGGCACUGGCACGGUGGUCCACCUGACCCAUGCCGAAACUCAGAAGUGAAACGCCGUAGCGCCGAUGGUAGUGUGGGGUCUCCAAAAGUACGAGUAGGGGAACUGCCGGGC
rnacentral:rRNA from 1 species